CCUACAGUGAUUAUCAUGUCUUUGGAAGUGAGGUUUCUGUGGUACAGGUAAAAACCUCAGGAUUUUCGUGGUUAGAAGAUAUUAAGUGACAAAGGAAGGUAUUACUUUAAGUCAUCUCUAAUUAGGUGCUUUGGUUUAACACACCCAGUCAAGGAUAUUUUGAGCUGAAGCUUAAAAAAACCCAAGCUGCCUCUUUAUAAGUCACCAUUAAUGCGUAGAUGAAAGGUAUUUUGAACUUGGGGAACUAUUGUCCAUCAGCUCAACUAUGUAGCUCAUAAUAUGACAUACAAUUAGUGAUUUUAUUUACAUUUCUAUUAAGAGUGUUUUUUAGAGGAGGGGCAGUUUGGGUGUUACAAAGAGAGAAACAGGAAAAAUUUAUAUGAAAGGUGAAUAUUAACUGUAUCUAAAUAAAUGCUAUUAAUUAAUUUUUAGCUCCAAAAAUGAAUGCUAAUUUGUGUAACUCAAUAGACGUGUAACCAAAACAAAUAAUUACCCUCCUUAAUUUGAGCAAGGGCUGCUCUUCCUUAAAUACCAGUGAUCUGAAAUCUGAUUUUUCUCAGUGUGAACACUUGGGCAAGUUACUUAAUCCCUUUAACCUCCUUCACCUUUCUGCGACUUCUUUGCUCUUUCUCCAUUCUUCUAUCCUUCUACUUAGCACCUUGUGUCACAGGUAUUUGUUUGCCUGUUUAGACUCUGCAAACUUCCCUGGUGACCAAGUGACAUGUGGAACCCUCCAAGACAGGGACCAUAUUUCCUGUCUCCCUGCACAGUGCCUGGCAUAAAGCAGGGUCUCCAUAAAUGUUUCUUUAACGAGUGCCUAAAUGGCCUGGUGGAGGUUGCUGGCACACUGGAAGAGGAGCCUGGAAGUAUGAUGUUAUAUUUUUCUAGUCUGCUAAUAAUCAAACCUUUUCACACUCAGUUUCUUCAUCUGAGAAAUAUUCCAUCCAGUGUGCUUCCCUUGCAGAGAUGCUGUGAUAAUUAAUGAACUCAUUGGAAAGGAACGAUAUUCUCUAUCCCUUUGAAGUUUGGUUUUACAAGAAGAUCUUUAUAUACAAGGCUGUAAAAAUUCUGUUCUCCUUCCUGCCCUUUUUUUCCUCAAGCCCAAAGGUCCAGGAGAGAUUAUCUGCCUGUGAAACUUCCAUUUCAUAAAUGCCAGUCUCCCCUGUAGUAUAACCUGCAGUGUACUCAGCUGGUCAAUCCAAGCCCUGAGGCCUUCUCUUUUCACAAAUCAAUCUGUAAGCCUGCAGACUGGAAGCCCCUGAUAGCUUGAGAGCUGCCAACAAAUGGGCUAGGGAAAGCCGUGGUUUAUUCACAGAUGCUCUUGACCUUCUGUGUUCUUUUCGAGGUUGCCCACAUCUUCACUGAAGAAACCACUCGAGAUGGCUUGGCAGGAGCCACGCUCUGUGCCAGGUGUUGGGCCUGGGUAGUGCACAGACAGGUGAGUUGUUACAUUAGAGAGCCAUAAGUCCAACGCAAAGAGGUGUGUGGGGGGUAGGUACAGAUCAGGAGGUAGCUCAGGCAAGAUGAACCUGGGGUACAGUUAAGAGGAUUGGAAGCCAUGUCAGGCAAGGAGAUGGUACCUGGGCCAGGUGUGAGGGAUGAAAAGGAUAGAUUAGCUUUGUGAACUUG
rnacentral:lncRNA from 1 species